rnacentral:rRNA from 1 species
GAUAAACGCUGGCGGCGUGCUUAACACAUGCAAGUCGAACGAAGCACUUUAUUUGAUUUCCUUCGGGACUGAUUAUUUUGUGACUGAGUGGCGGACGGGUGAGUAACGCGUGGGUAACCUGCCUUGUACAGGGGGAUAACAGUUGGAAACGGCUGCUAAUACCGCAUAAGCGCACAGCAUCGCAUGAUGCAGUGUGAAAAACUCCGGUGGUAUAAGAUGGACCCGCGUUGGAUUAGCUAGUUGGUGAGGUAACGGCCCACCAAGGCGACGAUCCAUAGCCGACCUGAGAGGGUGACCGGCCACAUUGGGACUGAGACACGGCCCAAACUCCUACGGGAGGCAGCAGUGGGGAAUAUUGCACAAUGGGCGAAAGCCUGAUGCAGCGACGCCGCGUGAGCGAAGAAGUAUUUCGGUAUGUAAAGCUCUAUCAGCAGGGAAGAUAAUGACGGUACCUGACUAAGAAGCACCGGCUAAAUACGU